rnacentral:rRNA from 1 species
GACGAACGCUGGCGGCGUGCUUAACACAUGCAAGUCGAACGGAAAGGCCCUGCUUUUGUGGGGUGCUCGAGUGGCGAACGGGUGAGUAACACGUGAGUAACCUGCCCUUGACUUUGGGAUAACUUCAGGAAACUGGGGCUAAUACCGGAUAGGAGCUCCUGCUGCAUGGUGGGGGUUGGAAAGUUUCGGCGGUUGGGGAUGGACUCGCGGCUUAUCAGCUUGUUGGUGGGGUAGUGGCUUACCAAGGCUUUGACGGGUAGCCGGCCUGAGAGGGUGACCGGCCACAUUGGGACUGAGAUACGGCCCAGACUCCUACGGGAGGCAGCAGUGGGGAAUAUUGCACAAUGGGCGGAAGCCUGAUGCAGCAACGCCGCGUGCGGGAUGACGGCCUUCGGGUUGUAAACCGCUUUCGCCUGUGACGAAGCGUGAGUGACGGUAAUGGGUAAAGAAGCACCGGCUAACUACGUGCCAGCAGCCGCGGUGAUACGUAGGGUGCGAGCGUUGUCCGGAUUUAUUGGGCGUAAAGGGCUCGUAGGUGGUUGAUCGCGUCGGAAGUGUAAUCUUGGGGCUUAACCCUGAGCGUGCUUUCGAUACGGGUUGACUUGAGGAAGGUAGGGGAGAAUGGAAUUCCUGGUGGAGCGGUGGAAUGCGCAGAUAUCAGGAGGAACACCAGUGGCGAAGGCGGUUCUCUGGGCCUUUCCUGACGCUGAGGAGCGAAAGCGUGGGGAGCGAACAGGCUUAGAUACCCUGGUAGUCCACGCUGUAAACGGUGGGUACUAGGUGUGGGGUCCAUUCCACGGGUUCCGUGCCGUAGCUAACGCUUUAAGUACCCCGCCUGGGGAGUACGGCCGCAAGGCUAAAACUCAAAGGAAUUGACGGGGCCCCGCACAAGCGGCGGAGCAUGCGGAUUAAUUCGAUGCAACGCGUAGAACCUUACCUGGGUUUGACAUGGAUCGGGAGCGCUCAGAGAUGGGUGUGCCUCCUUUGGGGUCGGUUCACAGGUGGUGCAUGGCUGUCGUCAGCUCGUGUCGUGAGAUGUUGGGUUAAGUCCCGCAACGAGCGCAACCCUUGUUCACUGUUGCCAGCACGUUAUGGUGGGGACUCAGUGGAGACCGCCGGGGUCAACUCGGAGGAAGGUGGGGAUGACGUCAAGUCAUCAUGCCCCUUAUGUCCAGGGCUUCACGCAUGCUACAAUGGCUGGUACAGAGAGUGGCGAGCCUGUGAGGGUGAGCGAAUCUCGGAAAGCCGGUCUCAGUUCGGAUUGGGGUCUGCAACUCGACCUCAUGAAGUCGGAGUCGCUAGUAAUCGCAGAUCAGCAACGCUGCGGUGAAUACGUUCCCGGGGCU